UACGGAGGGAGCUAGCGUUGUUCGGAAUUACUGGGCGUAAAGCGCACGUAGGCGGCUUUGUAAGUUAGAGGUGAAAGCCCGGGGCUCAACCCCGGAAUUGCCUUUAAGACUGCAUCGCUUGAAUCCGGGAGAGGUGAGUGGAAUUCCGAGUGUAGAGGUGAAAUUCGUAGAUAUCAGGAGGAACACCGGUGGCGAAGGCGGCUAUCUGGCCUAAUAUUGACGCUGAGAUGCGAAAGCGUGGGGAUCAAACAGG
rnacentral:rRNA from 1 species